rnacentral:lncRNA from 1 species
GUUUUCCCAGGGCCCCGGACCGGAAAUAGCUUGUCUCUAAAGAGUCAGAUGCUUUGGCGCGACCACUUUUCUUCUUUGUGGGCCGGCGUUUGCGUGUUUUUCUUUUUACACAACCGGGAAUAUCGGAGUAACAUUGUCUUUCUCUGUUUCCCUAGAUUUGCCAGAAAAUCUGCAAAGUCGUAUAGCCACAGCACGCGCAAAAGAAGAAAUCUUGAACUGAAGUGAUCGGGGAACCAAGGAUCCUCCUUCCCGCGGACCAGGACAGGCCAGAACUUGAAAGUUUCCAAGGAAGAGGAUGCUUGAGCUGAGUUAUUUAAAGAAGAAUAAAGUUUCCAAUUGAAGAGGUUGAAGAAAAUUCCAUGUAAAGGAAAUAGAAUGUUUAAAAGCAGGAAGACAUAAGAAAAUAUUUCCAGGCUCAGGAGUCUGGGGAGUGUGUGGCAGAGUAAUAGGAGAUGAGCCUGGAUCAGUAAUGGCCUCUUUUAUUAAUGCCUAUAUCAUCAGCAGUAAAUAUUUAUUCAGCAUCUAUUCUGUGUUAGAGAGCAACAUUCUACACUAAAGAAACCCUACACUCCACCCAUGAUUUCUAUCAGUAUAGUGCCACUGAAUCUUUCUAUCCAGGUAAGGCAUUGUCCAGUAAUGCUCUAAUUUUUUAAAAAUGUAGGAACCUAUGCAAUAUAUAUUUAGUGAGAGAUUGUCAGAUAUAAUGUGACAAAAUAAAAUCUUAAAUUUUUAUACUUUCAGAAACAUACAUAUUAUUAUCUUACUGGAUUUUAAUAACAGAUUUGGGAGGUACUCCUCCUUCCUAGUAGAUAAAGAAGACAAGGGCCACGUGGGGAUAGAGUCAGAACUAGAAUCAUGGUAUUCUGGCACCAGUCCAGUGUUCUUUACACUAAAGAU